UGUGGGCAGAUACCGUGUAUAAAAUUAAUGAAAUUCAUUUCCAAUUCUCACUUCCAGUGGUCUAUAAUUAGUUUUUAAGUCAGUAUAGUUUUUAAAUUUGUAAAUUUUUUAUUCAUGCAUUAAAUAAUGCAAGCAAUGACAUAUUCCACUUUUACAGUACUUCUGACUAUUAAAGCUAAUGUCACGAAAAGCUAUCAGUAUUUUUCAUGGUGGUGGAUGAAACUCUGGAUGCUAUAUUUGGAGAUGUUGAUAACAUUUCCCCAAGACUAGAUAUAUUAUCAACUCUUUAUUUCCCUUGGCACUACUUAAUGUGACACCAGUAUAUUUCCAGAAUGACAUUCCUGUCAAAUUAUUUUUAGAGAUGAAAAUAGGCUACAAAGUUCUUUGUAAACAUUAUUGCAAAACUCAACAGAGUAACCUGAAAUGAAAUGUGUGGCUAAACAAGCAUUUAUUCAUGUUUGAACUGUUUUUUUACAUUUUUGUUUGAGUUAUGAACAUUAUAAAUUGAAGUACAAUU
rnacentral:lncRNA from 1 species